GGUAACCUGCCUGUAAGACUGGGAUAACUCCGGGAAACCGGGGCUAAUACCGGAUGCUUGUUUGAACCGCAUGGUUCAAACAUAAAAGGUGGCUUCGGCUACCACUUACAGAUGGACCCGCGGCGCAUUAGCUAGUUGGUGAGGUAACGGCUCACCAAGGCGACGAUGCGUAGCCGACCUGAGAGGGUGAUCGGCCACACUGGGACUGAGACACGGCCCAGACUCCUACGGGAGGCAGCAGUAGGGAAUCUUCCGCAAUGGACGAAAGUCUGACGGAGCAACGCCGCGUGAGUGAUGAAGGUUUUCGGAUCGUAAAGCUCUGUUGUUAGGGAAGAACAAGUGCCGUUCAAAUAGGGCGGCACCUUGACGGUACCUAACCA
rnacentral:rRNA from 1 species